GUUUUUUUUUUUUUUUUAAUUUUUGGUGGUUUCCUUGGUGGGGCAGGAAUUCUAAACUCACAUAAAUCAGGUGGAGAGAAACACAAGAGGAACCUUUACACCCCUGGACCUGUCCUGAUCCUUCACCCGAACACACAAGUAUACCUGACGGCAUCUAACAGGCACCAUUUGACAAACAACAGGUUCCUUCAGGACUAUGAUAGGUGCAUUGCUGAUACCACCUACGAAGCAGGAGCUACGGUCCCCACCAUUGAGUUAAAUGCAGGAGCUAUGCUGAGUCAAGCAAAAAAAACAAAAAACCUUGAGCUCCCUUGAGCACCCAAGAAGAAAUGUCUUUACAAAUUGAUUUAUGUAUUACCAACCUCGCCAGUGGCCUCUGAACCAUCCAUUAAGAUACCACACGCUGCAGCCGCUAAGCCGACAGAACAGGAGGAGAAACCUUUCAGUGGUGGGGGGGACGGCUAGGAGAAGUGGUAGAGGAAGCUUAGCUCGUCAAUUCAAAUCCAGAUCUCUCAAUCUCUGGAUGACUAAAACUAUAAAAUUAGAUCUGUUUCCAAGUGGUGCAACAGAAACCCAUUCAACCUAUUGUCAGGAGAUCACUGGUGCCGCAUCCAUGGCUGGGAAUCCAAGACAGCAAAAUUGGCCGUGCUGUCUGUGUGGGCGGGAUGGCAUACUCUAUCCCCUGUCAAUCAGAGCAACACUAACCAAUCUUGGGUGUCUGUGUGGUUUACAGGGCAGUUAGCACUGUCCUCCAAGUGUGUACAGCCACCCUGUGACAUAACAUGAGCAACAGUUCAAAAAGAUGGAGGGAGGAAGGAGGAUUAGGAAGCACUUUACCCUUUACCCUAACUGGCCGGCAGCUGAUGUGGGAAUUGGCAAAUGACCAAAUUGGAAGAAAAUGGAGUAAAACAGAUUAAAAAAAAAAAAAAACUGAGAAUGGAACUGUAUUCAGUGAAAAGACGUAGCCAAUCUGAACUAGUUCAAGUUUUAUCACACUACAUCCAACAAAUCAAACUAGCUUCCUGUAUGAAAACACUGUCUGUGGCUCCUUCUGUUUGAGAAGCGGAGCGCAUGAAUACUGCGGAUAAGUUCAGAACUAGUUCUGCAUACAAAGAACCCUCAUAAUUGAGAGAGAGAGAGAGAGAGAGAGAGAGAGAGAGAGAGAGAGAGAGAGAGAGAGAGAGAGAGAGAAAGCAUAGUCUCAUGAAUGCAAAUUUGUAAUAACUCACACUAGUGUAAAAGUUGCAGAUUCGAGAUUAAAAUUUGAGUCAUUUCAGCGUCCCAUUUUUGUACACUUUUCUGGCCACAAGCUUCAGAAUCUUGAGAGUUGCAUUCUGAUUGGUUCUCCAUACUUCCAUGUGCUGGUUUCCAGCAUGAAAACACUGCAGCACUGCAAUAAGCUUUUCAAAGCAAGAUAUAAUGGCUGGACUGAAAACCGUUCCCGUCUUCAAAAGAAUUGUGAAGUUUGAAGCACAUUGUGAUGAUUACACAUGAUAAUCUAGUGUGUUUGCCAACAGGCUAUGGGACGAGAUCUGUGGUUGGUCAGCUGCCAUGUCAUGUUUCUGUGAAAGUAGAUGGUUCUUGGCCACAUUUAUUGACAGAGUUUACCAUACUCUCUAGCUAAAAGUCUGGCAUGUGAGAUUAAAGUAAGGGUGAGUGGAGGAACUUAGCAGUCAUAGCCUUUAUUAUGAACUUCAUUUGAUUAAGAGCAUACUCUGCUUAAUUGCCUCCUUAGUAAAGCUCUCAGUAUCUAAUAACUAAUAAACAGAAUGUCAACACUAUAAUACUGACUAUUGAGGACAGUUAAGGAAACCACAAUCUCCUUUAGCUAGAAAUUUGAACAAGACGACAUACAUACGUGGCAACAGUAGACCCCAGAAAAAAAAAUAGAAAUGGCUGGGUGCAAAGUGAACCCAGAAGUACCGGAUGAUCAAAUCAAACCUUUGCCCCGUAAGCCCUACUUGCUUUGCUGGGUUCUUCUGCCAAGGCAGAGGUCUUGGGUUGGGACUCCACACUGAUUCCACAUAUGAUGCUUAUUAAGGCCCAGUUGGAGCCCGUGGCUCUAAACCAAAUGGUGUGGGGAAUUCUGGGAACACAGGGCUGACUUAAGUGUUAAUAGAGGCCGUUCCAGCACCAUCAGCAGCAUUCCAAAGUGGGCGUAUCCAUCAGAAAGUGACAGAGCUGGAGGGUUCCUUGGAGCUGGAAUUAUAUGUUCUACCAAGACUUUUUGUAAGAAGCAGCAUACUCUGGCUUCUACAACAUCAUUAAGAAUUCUUUUGCCUUUUACUUCACUAUUUCAUUGCUGCUUAUAGGAAGAUCUUCUUUUUUUUAUGUUUCUUUUGCAAAAGUGUUUCUCCUUCAUGCAUUUUUGAGGAGUCCUUCCUGUCUGAACCUGGACUUUUGUAGCUGUGAUGUGAUACAGUUCACUGUAAAGAGCGCUGAAGGAAACAAAAAAUUGAUUUGAAUUGAGCUGAGCCAAAUUCUGUGUCAUGGUGUCAUGCCUCUGAAAUUUCCUUUCUGUCUGUGAGCUUGGCAUAUGGUUAAAUUGAACAAUGUCCUUUGAAUAUAUUGUUAAUAUACAGAUGGCUGAUGUCUUAACAAGGUGUUCAGACACAACAAGCCACUGUCCUUCCAAAAUGGUUGAUGUUUUGAUGAUGGUCAUGGAGAGCACUGGAUUACAGAUCAGUCCACAAUCUUCCACAUGUAUUCAGCUGGGUUGAGAUUUGGUAUGGGCAGAGUCAUCCUACAGGAGACCACACCCAUCAAGAGAGAAAUGGUUCACCAUAGGAUAAAGGUGUUGAUUUACAGUGGCACUUCCCUUUAAGAGGACAAGCGGACCCAAACCAUGCCAGCCAAAUACAUUAACAUUUAAAUAAAUUUCCUAUUAGUGAGUUGAAGAGUUAAGGAAUGAGACACUGCUUAAUAUUAUUGGCAUAGAAAAGAUGUUUAAUGUUGUCCGGUCCACAUUUUUAUUCUGUCCUAGCAAACACACCUGGGUCAGGUUAUCAAGGCGUGUUAGGAGGUGGAACAGAAUGAAAAUGUGAACUGGUAAUUUAUCUGACUGCAUUAGGAUCCCAUGUCCCAUGUAAGUAAGCAUACCCAGCUGAGGUAAGACAUGUUAUCUAUCUAUCUAUCUAUCUAUCUAUCUAUCUAUCUAUCUAUCUAUCUAUAUAUAUAUAUAAAAUUACACAUCUAAUAUAUCUUAAGGCUAGGACUGUGAUAUAUAAGACUCAGGUUUCAUUCAUUAAAUGCAAACUUUACUGCCAUUUUCCGACUUCCUGUUUUGUUUUGGGGUUUUUUCAGGUAUUUACAAUCCACAUGGCACCGCCUCUGCAAUCGCUUUUGUGUAAAGUUGCUGACUUAAUUUAUGGAGGGUAAACAGUGACAAAGUGGAGUUCCUGCAAGGUUCAGCUGGAAGAAAACGACAAGGGAUGACAGCAAUCUUCUGGCCUAAAUCUUCAUCUAAACCGCAGUGAUUGACCAGCGUCCCCAUGCCAACGAGCAUCGCAUUAUAGCUGUAAUCCAUUUUUGCAGAUGUAGAGUGGACAUCUGCAGCUGAUGCACUGCGAGACAGACAGAGAAAGCUCUUUAUCCUGAUAAGGUUAUCAUGAUAAGGAUCCAGAGUCUAUCCUGGGAAUGGGAAUCUGGAUGGGACGCCAGAUCAUCACACAUUCGCACACUCAGGAGCAAUCCACCUUGUUUUCUGGGAGUUGGAGAAAACCGGAGAACCCAGAGGAAAACCACAUGAACAAGGGAAGGAAGAACAUGUUAAAUAUUUGGUCAGUAACUUAAGCUAAGCAUCAAACCAGGGACACUGAAGCUGUGAGGCAACAACGCUACCUUCUGCUGCCCCUGGAAGUCUUAUAUCUCUCAAAAUCUUGUCCACUAAUACACACCCAUAUCUGUACUUAUAUAUUUAACUGCAACUAUAUUAUCAUCUGUAUCACUUCCAGCUUUACAAUGCAGUUCCACCUUUAAAUGUUUGAAGGUUGAGUUUAGUAGGUCCGAUAAUACUAAACUACACUAAGUAAAAAAGUGAUUUGAUUUGGUUGUCCAAGAUGACUGCCAUAAAAUACAAUUGCGGCAUUGAGCUACAGUACACGGUGAAGUCUUGCUCAUGUUUAUACUACUAAAAAACACUCUGUCCUAAACUAUACUGGUAAGUUUGCAUCACUGUCCUCAAAAAUGGGCAUGUGUAUGUAAAAGACUACAUUUGAGGUAAAUUGAAAAUGGUGUAAAUUUGAUCCCUAAUACACGGUGUUCUAUUAACCCUAUGUUUACACUAGCAAGCAACAAGUCGCUCAUGUCGCAUGUAGUUUGUCUCUUGUGGGCAUGUAGCAACCACUACUGGUGUUGCUUAUGUUUGGUUGUGUUUGUUGUUGUUGUUGCUGUUCCACUGAGGAAACAUAGACACCAAAAUCUAUAGCUUGAUUAAAAAACAUUUGUUUAAAAUGUAUUUAAGUUUGAUUUACAUGUUACAUGCUAGACUUCGUAUAUCGCAGAUAAGCUGUACUAGCUACACACACUCGCCAGAAGCCCCAACGAUCUUUCCUUCGUCCUUCCAAGCUUUAUUUUUCUUUGUAAUGUCUCUAUACACGUUUAACGAUAGGUUGACAGGUAUAUGACAGGAUAAGAAGAAACCACGGUAGUAAGUUUUUCUGAAACGUUUUCCAUACAUCAAAAUUGAAACAAGGAAUAAAGUUCUGAGCGGGGAAAUCAGGAAACAUGUGGCACAGGACUGGUCGCUUUUUGUUUGUUGCUUGCUAGCGUCAACAUAGGCUUAGUCAGCUAGCCGACGUCAAGUGAAUACUGUCACUGCUAUUUGCGGGGGUUUUUUACCGUAAUAAAAAAAAAAAAAAAUUCUGCUUAAUUAUCAUGUACAGACCGCCACAAAAACAUGUUCUAUGUCUAUACUAGUCCGUUAUACAGACUUUUACGUGUUAGGCUAUAUCGUGGUAUAAAAUUACUUUGCGGUAAAUCAAGAACAUAACUCCGCAGUACCCUCACCCUCCGUGACUGGAAUCUGACACUUCUGACCCAGACCUAUAAGAUCAAAGAGCAUUGCGUCUCGCCACUUUUCUCCACAAACAGGACGUAUAGGCUAUUGAACACACCAUGCACCGAGGCUAAGAGAUGCAAAGCAUCUGAGACAUGAACACACUGAGCUGAACCUUAGCUGUAAUAUAAAUAGUCCUAUUCUGUGGUUAAUUUUUUUUUUUUUUUUUUAGUACUGUAAUGACUCACACUGCAAGUCUCACAGGCGAGAAGAAACGAUAAUCUAGCAAAUGGAAGUCAAUCUGAUCUGAAUAAUUUAUAACUUUUUAACACAGAUGAGUGACACUGUAAUCUAUAUAUACCUGACAUAUGACACAUAUGAUGUGCAACCAUGUAUUGUUUUGGUUUUAUAUAUAUAUAUAU